GGAGGAAAUUAUUUCCAUUUCAUUAUGCUCCUCCUUCUUCAGUCACUUCUACAGAUAACAUUGCUGUAUUCUGUGAUUUCUUCAGAAUUGCAGUAGAGUUUCACCUAACCCCAUUUCACCUUGUGUUGAAGUCCUGAUAGUGUCACAGGACAUCAGUAGUAUGAGUUGUAAUUUAAACGUGCUCACAUUGUCUGCUCUGGCUCCCUUUAUCAACUCUAUUAUUUAAUACCUACCUAUUACAUUAUUUCUACCCUUCCUUUCAACACACAGGUUGAAAAAACAGAGUAAAUUGGCUUGUCCAUGUUCUGGUAGCAGAAGCAAGUGCAUGAGCUUUGCAUUCUUUUAAAACUUUUAAAUUCUUACCAUACAAGGGAAAUGAAAAUGUGUCAGUGCUGUAAAGAAGACAUGUGGGCAGCCAGGCUGAAGUGGCUCCAUGAGUGUUGCUAGAUUUU